GAUGAACGCUGGCGGCGUGCCUAAUCCAUGCAAGUCGAGCGAACAGAUAAGGAGCUUGCUCCUUUGACGUUAGCGGCGGACGGGUGAGUAACACGUGGGUAACCUACCUAUAAGACUGGCAUCACUCCGGGAAACCGGGUCUAAUGCCGGAUAACAUGUUGAACCGCAUGGUUCUACAGUGAAAGGCGGCUUUGCUGUCACUUAUAGCUGGACCCGCGCCGGAUUAGCUAGUUGGUGAGGUAACGGCUGACCAAGGCAACGAUACGUAGCCGACCUGGGAGCGUGAUCGGCCGCAGUGGAACAGAGCCGCGUUCCAGACUCCUACGGGAGGCCGCAGGAGGUAAUCUUCCGCCAUGGGCGAGAGCCUGACGGAGCAACGCCGCGUGAGUUAUUACGGUCCUCGGAUCGUAAGACUCUGUUAUUAGGGGAUAACAUAUGCGUAAGGGCCUGUACUGGUCGUGAUGGUACCUACGCAGAAAGCUACGGCUAGCUACGUG
rnacentral:rRNA from 1 species